GGAUGUAGCUAAAUUGGUAUAACUCUUGCUUUGUACAUAAUAGGAGCAGGGUUCGAUCCCCUGUAACUACA
rnacentral:tRNA from 1 species